rnacentral:rRNA from 1 species
GAUGAACGCUAGCGAUAGGCUUAACACAUGCAAGUCGAGGGGCAGCAUGGUCUUAGCUUGCUAAGACUGAUGGCGACCGGCGCACGGGUGCGUAACGCGUAUGCAACUUGCCUCACAGAGGGGGAUAACCCGUCGAAAGACGGACUAAUACCGCGUACACUUGGAGGGAGGCAUCUCCCAUCAAGGAAAAGAAAUUCGCUGUGAGAUAGGCAUGCGUCCCAUUAGCUAGUUGGUGAGGUAACGGCUCACCAAGGCAACGAUGGGUAGGGGAACUGGGAGGUUGAACCCCCAGACGGGGACUGAGACACGGACCAGACUCCUACGGGAGGCAGCAGUGAGGAAUAUUGGUCAAUGGGCGAGAGCCUGAACCAGCCAAGUCGCGUGAAGGAUGACUGUCUUAUGGAUUGUAAACUUCUUUUGUAGGGGAAUAAAGAACGGUACGUGUACCGUAGUGAAUGUACCCUACGAAUAAGCAUCGGCUAACUCCGUGCCAGCCGCCGCCGUAA